AUGUCUUCCUAUGACAAAAUUUUAGAGCUAGUGAAAGUCAUGGAACUAGAGGGUGAUAAAAAGAGGGAAUUCAUAGAAAGAGAGCUAGCAAAAUUAGAAAAGAAAGAAAAAGAAGAUAGGGAGGAUAGGAAACAAAAAGAAAAAGAAGAUAGAGAUAGAGAAAAAGAAAUUAGGGACAGAGAAGAAAGAAAUGCAAAGAGAAAUCAUGAGAAAGAAUUAAAAGAACUAGAAGCUAAACAAAAAGAAGUAGAGGCAAAACAAAAAGAAAGUCAGGACAAAGUAGAGUUAGCUAAACUAGAAGCUGCCAAAACAAAUCCCAACAUUAUAACCCAACAGUCUACAACAAAGCCAUUCAUUUCUAAAUUUCAUAAAUUCAAUUCCAAAGAUGAAACACUUGAAAACUAUUUGGUCCAAUUUGAGCAUAUUGCCUCCACUUACAAUCUUAACAAUGAGGACAUGGCCAAACACCUACUAGCAAAUUUGUCGGGAGAACCCCUCAACAUCAUUUCCACAUUAACAGUAGACCAAAAGAAAGACUAUGCGGCAGUAAAGACUAGAUUACUAGAGCACUUCGGGAAAAAUUCGGACUUCUAUCGCAAGCUGUUUAGGGACACUAAAUUAAAGAAAGAUGGGGACUUUAAUAGAAUAAUAUUUUAUAUGAGGACGAAUAUGAUAAAAUGGUUAGAGCUAGCAAAAUGUGACAUCAAGGACCCGACACAAAUCCUAGACAUGCUACUUAUUGACAAUGUUCUCAACAACGUGACAGAUUUGGUAUUCACUUUUCUUAAAGAAAAAAAGAUCAAGACAGAGACUGAACUGAUAACCAACUUAAAUUUAUUUAAAGACAGUCACCCUGGACACACCAUUGACAAAAGAGACCUACACCAACUUGCAGCCACAGCAACAACAUCCAACAACAACAGCAAUGAUAAAUACAAAUGGUCUAACACCAAGACUUGUUUCAAUUGUGGGAGAAGAGGUCACGUGAAAAACCAAUGCAAAGCUCCUAUAAACUACAAUAACAAUUACAGAUACAGAAGCUACACUAAUUUCUACAAUCCAAACAGCUAUAAUCACAACAAUAAUUACAAUAAUAGACCAUAUAGACCACACCAGAGUGCAAGUCCCAAUAAAAGAAGAAAUUUUACAAACAGCUGCCAACACAAUAACUAUAAUAGCAACAACAGACAAUCUAGAAGGGACCAAUUUAACUACCACACAAACAACCACCCAAACAACUACAAUAGCGGAAAUAGAAACAAUAGAAACAACAGUGGCAAUAACACCAACACACAUAGAGAGGAAAAUGUAGCUUAUAUGCAAUCAAACAAGUCUAAAAUAAAGGUCUUUCCAUCCUAUGUCAAUCUUAAGGAAGUGGGAUCAAUUCGUGACAGUGGAGCCACGGCAUUCAUAGUUAAAGCCUCUUUAGUUGAACCAGGACAGUAUCUAGAAAAUACAGUAAAAGUGACCUAUGCAAACAUACAAAAAUUUGAUAUUUGUAAGAUCGCUAAAGUUCCAAUAUUAUCCCCCUGGAUUACAUGAGAACUAGAAGCCAUAGUCAUGGACACCGCAGCACAAGAUCUAAUAAUAGGCAAUGUAGAAGGUGUAAAAGAUCCAACACUAGAAGAAGUUAUGCAAUGGGCGGAAGAUGGACAAAAGUAUUCCCUUUACAAACAUGAGGCAUUAUUAGUUGAAACCAGAUACAUAAUACAUGAAAAUGAAGCAAGUGAAAAUAAUGACAUUAAACACAUCAGCCAGGACAUUCUAAUAGAGUAAAUAACCAGUACAAAUCACUUAGAACCAAGUAGUAGUAGUCAACUAAGUCAACUUAACAUACUACACAUUUUUCAAAUAGGUCAUGACACUUUAUUGUUACAUUUAUCUCUUGGGUCAUCAUGACACUUCAAUUGCUAUUGACCUAUUAUGCUUAUGAUCAUUAACAGAUCAUCUAUUAACUCAUUGUAUUUUAUUGUCAAGUUGUAAUAUGACAAAUACCAGAUGUGUUUAUUUUGUGUGUACAUAUUUUGUUUUACUACUGAGCAUGCACAGCAAUGUAAACAAUGAGAUGUAAACAACAGUGAACUACUUGAACUGUUGACCUGAAUUUUUUUUCAAAACAACUCACAGAUGUAAAUAUUGUUGAAUUUUUUACACACUUGAAUACUACAAUGAGAUGUAAACAACAGUGAACUACUUGAACUGUUGACCUGAAUUUUUUUUCAAAACAACUCACAGAUGUAAAUAUUGUUGAAUUUUUUACACACUUGAAUACUACAAUGAAUGUUUACAAACAUGAAAAUUUUUUACUAUUGUACUUCAAUACUACACUCAGGCUAUUUAUAGUAGUCUUAUGCAAGGUCAACCUUGAACUUGAUUGACAUGUCUCUAUGAAUCUUUUUUGAUGAUGGCAAAACUUAGAAUAAUAUUUUGACACAGCACAUCACAAUUGUAAAUAAAUAUGAAUUUUUUUUCUGAAAUCUUUUUGAGUAAAUUUACUCAGUGUGUCAAAUGAUACACAUUGGUAAUGUUGUGCAGCUAUAAUUAUAUGAAAAUAUUGGAUGUGAAAUAACUUAAUUUUUUUUCUUUCCUUUUUUAUAUUGAUUAGCAUGUGAUUGCAUGUACAAAUUUUGUCAGUACAAAUGUAUACAUAAAGCUGUUAACACUUGAUGGAGAUUAAAUCUUUUAAAAAAAAUUCUUUGAUAAUAUUUCAUAACACUUGCAUAAGAAAAGAAUUGUGGAUACUUUUCAUUACAAUUAGUCUGAUAUUUCAGUGAUUUUGCUCUCAGUGAAUUAAGUAUAUAAAUCAUUAUACAUUUUGGACUCAGUAAUUUAUAUGGUGUUGUACAUAAUUACUAAGAUUAUAUAAGAUGAUAUGAACAAUUGAAGUGAACUUACAGCACUUGAUGGAAUAAUGGACUAAGCUCAUAUAUAUAUUUGUACAGUGAUAUUGGUGUAAAAUAUACUUGUCAAAGAUUUUUGGACAAAAAUCUUUUUUUGGAGUGUGGGGCGUAUGUUACAGACCAGUUUUAGAACCCCUGUGACAUAAAGUGACACUCAGUCACCUAUUUUAAUAUUCCGUGCUGAAAGCACGAGAACAAGUUUUAGGGACUCUAAAAUAAGGGUCAAUGUUAAGCAGUUAGUGAAGAACUCCAGCAGAGAGUGGCUGUAAUAUAAUUUUCUCUGUCUGUAAUGUGUACUGUGACAAAUUUGAUCAAGUGUUAACUUAAAAGAUUUCUUUGGAUUAAUAUUGUUAAUAUUUCAUUGAUGUGAUUACUUUGUCUACAUGGCAUGAGCAGCCAGUAUUUAUCGUUAUUUAUUUUGUGUAAUUAAACUUUCCUCGUCUGCAUCUGUGGAGUUACGUUCUAGAUAUCUACAUAUACAUGUCCAGGUUCCAUGAAGUUAUGAGCUGAAUAGAUUUAUUGAACAAUACGUAAUUGUGUUAUUCUAUUGCAACAAGAAGGAUGAUGAUAAUGUAGUUCGUCAGACGAUACAGGAUGACGUCAUUCACAUAAAGAAACAAAGAGAUACUCUUUCACGUCUGCUGAACCAAAUGAAACAAAUGUACGGCCAACAAAGUUGUCAAAUGAUGAAACUUUAAAAGAAUGAUUCCAAAGUAUCGGCUAACGGAGGAUGGUGCAAGGAAACCAGCAGACCUAACAGCAAUUCACAUAUAACAGAUCCGGUAAGUUUCUUAGACUUGACUGCCCCACAGUACGGCCUUCCAAUCUUUGACUGGGUCGUCAGUAUCGAGGUAGCAGAGCACAUCCCGGCCAAGUUUGAAGAGAUUUACUUGGACAAUCUGGCCAGGCAUGCACGUGAAGG